rnacentral:rRNA from 1 species
AUCAGGGGCUCAACCCCUGACCUGCAUCCGAUACGGUCGAGCUAGAGUUUGGUAGGGGAGACUGGAAUUCCUGGUGUAGCGGUGGAAUGCGCAGAUAUCAGGAGGAACACCGAUGGCGAAGGCAGGUCUCUGGGCCAAUACUGACACUGAGGAGCGAAAGCGUGGGGAGCGAACAGGAUUAGAUACCCUGGUAGUCCACGCCGUAAACGGUGGGCGCUAGUUGUGCGAACCUUCCACGGUUUGUGCGACGCAGCUAACGCAUUAAGCGCCCCGCCUGGGGAGUACGAUCGCAAGAUUAAAACUCAAAGGAAUUGACGGGGCCCCGCACAAGCAGCGGAGCAUGCGGCUUAAUUCGACGCAACGCGAAGAACCUUACCAAGGCUUGACAUAUACAGGAAUAUGGCAGAGAUGUCAUAGCCGCAAGGUCUGUAUACAGGUGGUGCAUGGUUGUCGUCAGCUCGUGUCGUGAGAUGUUGGGUUAAGUCCCGCAACGAGCGCAACCCUCGUUCUGUGUUGCCAGCAUUUAGUUGGGGACUCACAGGAGACUGCCGGGGUUAACUCGGAGGAAGGUGGGGAUGACGUCAAAUCAUCAUGCCCCUUAUGUCUUGGGCUGCACGCAUGCUACAAUGGCUGGUACAAACGGCUGCAAUACCGCAAGGUGGAGCGAAUCCGAGAAAGCCAGUCUCAGUUCGGAUUGGGGUCUGCAACUCGACCCCAUGAAGUCGGAGUUGCUAGUAAUCGUAGAUCAGCAACGCUACGGUGAAUACGUUCCCGGGGCUUGUACACACCGCCCGUCACAUCACGAAAGUCGGUAACACCCAAAGUCAGUGGCCCAACCGUAAGGAGGGAGCUGCCAAAGGUGGGAUCGGUGAUUGGGAUGAAGUCGUAACAAGGUA